rnacentral:rRNA from 1 species
GACGAACGCUGACGGCGUGCUUAACACAUGCAAGUCGAACGGUGAAGCGCCUUCCUUUUUGGUGGGUGUGGAUGAGUGGCGAACGGGUGAGUAACACGUGAGUAACCUGCCCCCUUCUUCUGGAUAACCGCAUGAAAGUGUGGCUAAUACGGGAUAUUCUGGGUCUGUCGCAUGAUGGGUCUGGGAAAGAUAUUGUUUCGGUGGGGGAUGGGCUCGCGGCCUAUCAGCUUGUUGGUGGGGUGAUGGCCUACCAAGGCGGUGACGGGUAGCCGGCCUGAGAGGGUGGACGGUCACACUGGGACUGAGACACGGCCCAGACUCCUACGGGAGGCAGCAGUGGGGAAUAUAGCACAAUGGGCGCAAGCCUGAUGCAGCGACGCCGCGUGAGGGAUGGAGGCCUUCGGGUUGUGAACCUCUUUCGCCAGUGAAGCAGGCCUGCCUCGUUUGUGGGUGGGUUGACGGUAGCUGGAUAAGAAGCGCCGGCUAACUACGUG